rnacentral:rRNA from 1 species
GACGAACGCUGGCGGCGUGCUUAACACAUGCAAGUCGAACGGAAAGGCCCUGCUUUUGUGGGGUGCUCGAGUGGCGAACGGGUGAGUAACACGUGAGUAGCCUGCCCUUGCCUUUGGGAUAACUUCAGGAAACUGGGGCUAAUACCGGAUAGGAGCUCCUGCUGCAUGGUGGGGGUUGGAAAGUUUCGGCGGUUGGGGAUGGACUCGCGGCUUAUCAGCUUGUUGGUGGGGUAGUGGCUUACCAAGGCUUUGACGGGUAGCCGGCCUGAGAGGGUGACCGGCCACAUUGGGACUGGGAUACGGCCCAGACUCCUACGGGAGGCAGAAGUGGGGAAUAUUGCACAAUGGGCGGAAGCCUGAUGCAGCAACGCCGCGUGCGGGAUGACGGCCUUCGGGUUGUAAACCGCUUUCGCCUGUGACGAAGCGUGAGUGACGGUAAUGGGUAAAGAAGCACCGGCUAACUACGUG